UGCUUCUGUGGCUAAAUGGGACCAAAUCUCUGCAGCCAGGCUCGAGCACCUGCGAAAAGACCCCCGCUCCCCUCAUUGUGUCGUGUGGCAUUCGAGUUCCAGAGAAAACUGUGGAACGGUGGAAGCUGUCUUCGCUUGUUACAGGUGCCUCUCCGUGAUUGGUGCAUCCAGGGGACGGAACGUACAGAUUGGCUAACUACCUGGAGACAACGUAUAUGAUGACACCGCCAUGGACGGCCAGUCAUUCAUCCUCGGCUCACCUCAACCGACUGCUGUUUCUUUAUACAGGAGCAUGUAGGGGUGGACUGCCUUUUUAUUUGAUUACCUUUUUCUCAUGUUUUUGUUAGUUAGGGAGAUAAGUCAUUGUCAUUUGUUUUGAUUCUCUUUAUAGGUAAGUUUGGUACAUUCUGUAGAUAAGCUCCCUUUUGUUUGUUGUUUUGCCGUUAGGUCCACCCCAAAGCUAUAGUCCGUUCCUUUUGCUUUGUUAAAAUUCACUCUCUGUAAGUAAAUCACCAUCAAAAUUGUAUUCAUUGUGUGAUGUGCUGCUUGAGGUCACACAGGGAUGGAUCACCCUUAUGUUAUGGUCUGGCCACCCCUCGACAGGCCAUAACAUUAUGGAAUGUUGUUUUUUUUUUUUGUUUGUUUUGUUUUUUUUUGUUGUUGUUUUUUUCCAUUCAGUGUAUACGAGUUAUCACAGAUGAUGGUGAGUACCUAACUCCUAAGCUUUUGUGUUGUUUGGCUUUUGAAAAUUGCUCUCCCUAAAAAACAGUGACAAACAUCAAAAACUACUUGAAAUGUUUCACCAAAGUCCUUUUGUUGUUCACCAAAAAUGUGAUUAAUUGUGUUUAAAAGUUACUAUAUUCUAAAUGCAAAAAGUGCAAGCUACAAGCUAUUUAAAAGCAAGUGCAGAAGUGCAAACAUGAGGUUUUUAUAGAGGUUUUUGGUAAUUGAAGAUAAGGGUAUUCUAAAAAUCCGUUUGCAGUUUUGACAUGUAGACAUGGAAAAUGCUUGACAAAAUAAGUGUAGGUUUAUCUGAGGCACCAGUGUAAAUUUACUUUUUAAAAUACACUGUGGAGAAAGUUAAAUAUUAUCCCAUCAUUUCUCAUUCUGUCUUGUCUGACAGAAGUUAAGUUAGGUCACGCUGACCACAUUUACUCUCCUAAUGGAAUAAUUCCUCAUCAGCUUUUAAAUCAUGUGGACAAAUGGGAAUAUUACUCAUUAUUGAAAACAUGCACAUGGCUUAAUGUCGAGGAAUUAUUCUGCCACAGUUUACCCGCUGUUUAAAGUGGCCAGAAUGCAAAUGAGACAGCCACCGGGCUGAAUAAUGGCUCAGGAAUGAAUGUACAGUUGAAAUGUGAAGCAGGAUGACACCUCUGCUCUGAACCGCCUGCAGUGGUUCAGCUGUUCAGGGCCAUCUUCCACUAACCUUCCUGUCUUCUUAUGUAAAUACAUCUUUGUUAAUGACUUUUUUAGAUGCAAAGCAAUUUAUAGAAUAACCUUGUUCCGCACUGUGUCGCCUCAAAUGGGUGGGAUACAUCUAAUCACCACAUUCUGCCUGUGCAGAGGAAUACUUGAAAUAUAAAACAUUAAAAUUGCCUCUUUGACCCCUGCAUGGAAUUAUGCAUCUAUAGGCUCUACAGUAAAAUGCACACACACAAGUUGUUUGAUAUAUUAUAGUUUGUGUUUACAAUUCAAUUCCAAAACCGUGGGACACUGUAAAUUGUAAUUAAAAAUGUGUAAGUAAGUAAAAUUUAUUUAUAUAGCGCUUUUCACAGAUAAAAAUCACAAAGUACUUUACAACACAAGAAAUGGAAAUAUAA